UUUUGUUAAAAAAGGAAAGAGAGGG
rnacentral:tRNA from 1 species